ensembl:lncRNA
GACGUUACAGGAAGAAGAGUUAGAGCUACCCUGUGUGUUGUUUUGAAAGAAAAAAAGGCGGAUAUGUUCUCUAAUGAAAGCUUUCUGGGUUUAGUUUAGACUUCCUGGACUCAUUAAACUUCAUAAACUCAGCAGUAAUUCCUGACAAAUGUGCUGACCAAACGAUGGCUGCCAGUACUGAACAGAUAGACACAUCGCUCCCUCCUGGAUGGACGAGAGAGACAAGACAACGAAAGCAGGGCAAGACAGCAGGCAAAAUGGACACUUACAUUGUCAGUCCUCAGGGUAAACGCUUCAGAUCCAAAGCAGAACUCCAGAAGUACCUGCUUGCUGAGGAAAGUGUCCAUCUGGAUCUGGACGCUUUUGACUUCACGACAAAAAUCAAAGCACAGUCUCAAAAAUCCAACUCUGAAAAGCCACAACAAAAAAAACGAAAAACAGGAAGGAGAAAAGCACAACAGACAAAUCAAACUGCAGAAAAUCAACCUGGGGCAGCUGUGGGAGAAAUGCAACACGUAGAGAUCGAGACACAGGUGGAGGAGAUGAACAGUACGGAAGCCCAGGUGCAGAAAAUAAAGAGUGACGAAGAAGAACAAAAAGACGUCAAUUGCAAAAUAGUGGAAGCAUCCAGCAGUGUUGGAGAAAACAGACUGGCCGCUGUGCCUGCCAUAAUUGUACAUGCAGCAUCGGAGAGCGAAGGAGAGGAUAAAGCAGAGGAGGAGAAAGAAGAAAGCGAUGAAGUGAGUGACAGCCAAAAAAGUAACUCGGGGAAUGGCUCAACUGUCAGAAACACACAAAAUGGUGAGUAUUACCCUAAACUACAGUGCUGUGAAAAUCAUUUAAAAACUGUAGUGUGUUUACUCAGGUUGCCUUUGUUUUAUGUUGUAUUUCAUUUGAAGAUCUAAAACUAUUUAGUAUGAGAUAUACACAAAAACAAAAGAAAUCAACACACUUUUUCACAGCACUGUACUGCACAAUUAAACGGUUUUACGAGUACUGUUUUUAUUCAGAUAAUGUCCGGGUCUUUCCAAAGGCUACACAAACUUUUUCACACAGACAUUAAUCUGUGCCACAAUACAGU